rnacentral:tRNA from 1 species
GCCUCGGUGGCGUAAUAGUCAACACGCUCGCCUGUUACACAGGAGGGCGCGGGUUCGAUCCCAGCCGAGGCA